GAUGAACGCUGGCGGCGUGCCUAAUACAUGCAAGUCGAGCGAACAGACGAGGAGCUUGCUCCUCUGACGUUAGCGGCGGACGGGUGAGUAACACGUGGAUAACCUACCUAUAAGACUGGGAUAACUUCGGGAAACCGGAGCUAAUACCGGAUAAUAUAUUGAACCGCAUGGUUCAAUAGUGAAAGACGGUUUUGCUGUCACUUAUAGAUGGAUCCGCGCCGCAUUAGCUAGUUGGUAAGGUAACGGCUUACCAAGGCAACGAUGCGUAGCCGACCUGAGAGGGUGAUCGGCCACACUGGAACUGAGACACGGUCCAGACUCCUACGGGAGGCAGCAGUAGGGAAUCUUCCGCAAUGGGCGAAAGCUUGACGGAGCAACGCCGCGUGAGUGAUGAAGGUCCUCGGAUCGUAAAACUCCGUUAUUAGGGAAGAACAAAUGUGUAAGUAACUAUGCACGUCUUGACGGUACCUAAUCAGAAAGCCACGGCUAACUACGUG
rnacentral:rRNA from 1 species